CCCUAUGGGGUGCACCAGGCCAUGCAGGAAAACGACUACAGGUACUGGGAUAAUAAUAGAGACGCAAUUAAAAAAGUAUAUGACGAAGCCAUGUCGUGAUAGGCUCAUCUUUUAUAUCAUUUCCUUAGCGGCCUUCCUUUAACUGUCUAAACUAUCCCAAAAUAGGAUAUAUCAUGAUAAACAUAUAUCCAUAUGGAAGGCAAGAGAUCUAUGCUAAAGAAAUAUAUUUUUAUAAUAUUAUUACUCUUUUUAAUGCAACCCGCUUUCGGAAUAGAAGUUGGCUAUUCAUUGAACGAUCUGACCGUAAACAGCGAGUAUGAUGUGGACGACUCGGUCUAUGUUCACGAAGAGAUCUCAGGAAACCCUCAGGAUAGCACCCUGCAAAGCAGCCGGGAGGUCUCCGGCAACGGUAAGAUGCAGGGCAGCCAGACGAUCUCAUCGGAGAGC
rnacentral:rRNA from 1 species